GCUAAUUUCAACAAAACCCUAAUCUGCCUUACAAAAUAAAAAUCAUUUUGUUUUCUUUCUCCCUCCGUUUGCUCCCUCUGUUCUUCAUUUUUCUGCCUCCUCCUUCAAUCUCCCUCCGCCGUUCGAUCUCCGUUCAGUUUCCCUCCGUUGAUCGCCGUUCGACCUCUUUUCUGCAGCACCCUUCACAAUCGACGACGGCCUCACCGCGACCAACCACCCGACUGCGCCCUUGAGACCUCCCCGCGCCGUACGACCACCGUGAGAUCUCCUCCCUCCAUGCUAGCAGCACGACCACAUCGUCUCCCUUUCCAAUCUCCUCCGCUGUGAGUAAUCUUUGAUUGGUUUUUAUUUUUCUUUUUUCUUUUUUUCUUUUUUGCUUCACCUACUUUUGUUUCAAAAGCGAGGACACCCUUUCAUUCCGUUGCGGCGAAAGCGGAACGUGUUCUCCUUGACUUCAAAUCAGAUCGAGAUCAAGAGAAGCAAUCUCCUGAUAGCUUGACGAGGCAAUCUGAAGUUGAAUCUACAAGCAGCGAGAAAGAGAAUAAGGUCUUGUAGGAAUUAUGAAAUAUUAUGGAGAUUCUUCUAGAUUGUCAUGAUCUUGUUCUCAAGAAUAUUUGUUUUUUCUACUGAUUUAAUUGAAUGGGAAUGUAAGUUUUCUAUGCAUGGAAACAAGACUUGGAUGCUCAAACUUUUGCAAGGGCAAGUCACAAUCAACUUUUUAUAAGGAGGAUUGUGCGUAUCAAAGAAGAAAUCGCGAGUCGGAAAGCAUUUUAAUAUUUAAUCAAUAUUUAAGAAAUUUUAGUUUUAAUAUUUAAGUAAUUUCUAUUUUAUUUGUUUUAUUUAAUUUUAUUUUGGAUUAAAGGCCCAUAAGGCCCAAUAGGGUUUAUUUGUUUUCUGUAUUUAAAGACCUUUGGCAUGACCAUAAGGAUUAUCUCUUUUAUUAUAUAGAAUCCAAAGUUUUCUUUAUUCCUGGUGGACUCUAGAGCUUAUCUAUAGGGUUUGCGCUUGCAACCCUGUUUUCAUUCAAGGUUUAGCGCUUGCUAUUCCUUUGGGCGGCUUCCGACUGCGUCAGUUGGUAUCAGAGCAGGUUUUCUCCUGUU